rnacentral:lncRNA from 1 species
GGUAUCAGGGGAAUCCAGCCUACAGCACUCGCCUCCCCAACCUCUGUCCCCUGGUUUGUCAACCUCAAGCGGACGCCCAUCACAGAACUUACGUCUUCGCUUUCCUCAAUGGAUCUCUACCCUACUGGAUGGACCUGCGCGAGACCGGCCUCCGUAGCCUUGACCAGUCCUUCCAGGCCGUCCUGCAGCACAUGGCCAGCAAGAACAUUGUGCACAUAGAUUGGGGAAAACCUCAACUCUGGCUAGAAAAUGAGGAUUUGGCAUGUGACUGCAGCAUCAUGGCUCACCAAUGCCAC